GGAGUGGUGGUUGAGUGGUAAAAUUCUCGCCUUCUGUGCAGGAGACCCGGGUUCAAUUCCUGGCCAAAGCA
rfam:Loxodonta africana unplaced genomic scaffold scaffold_88, whole genome shotgun sequence.